UUAUGAAUCUAGGAUUUGACCCUUCAAAAUCAGUAUUUGUUGAGGCAGUCCGUGCUUUUCAUUUCAUGUCGCACAAAACAUGGGAACACAAAACGGAGGUUUAUGGGAGGUUCGGUUUGUCUGAAGAUGAGAUUUGGUCGAUGUUCAGAAAGCAUCCCAAAUGUAUGUCUUUGUCUGAGAAGAAGAUCACUGGCGUGAUGAAUUUUCUUGUGUGCAAGAUGGGUU
rnacentral:misc_RNA from 1 species